CUCGCUCAGAGAGCUCCCACCUGCUGGCUCCUUGGUCGUGCCCCUGGAGAGGAAAAAUACGGGCCGCUUUUAACUAAGAAAUCAGGGCAAAAUGAGGUGACUUGAAGUGAACAAAGAUGCUGAGGUUUUCCUGCGUGGGACACCUGCCCUGAAGGGGAAGCCAGAAGAUGCUGAGCCUGGUGUCAGGGACACACUGGCGGCAGCCCGCGAGGUGGCUGUCACGCUGAGGCUGAAACCUGCUGUCUCUCUACGUGUCCAUCUGUCCAGUAAUGCCUGGACAGGUAAGACAGUAUUAGGUGUGCACGGACCUGGCACUUGAAGUCUGUUCCUGGAAAACUCCUAUGAUUGCCUACCUUCAGACCUGGACAUUAAAAAUUCUUAUUUUGUUAUAUAAGUUAGGCUAUUUUUAUUUCGCUUCUUUGGUUAUUCCAGGUUCUUGCCAAAUAUCCUUGGACCUUUACAAGUAAAACUGUUUCAUGUUUAAUUCCUUAUUUUCCUCCCCCAAAGAAAACUCAAGAGUUAUAAAAAUGAAUUAUACAUAUAGUGUUUUACCAGAUAAUAGAGGAACCAUUUCCCUCAAUCUGUUAAUUAGCUCUGUACUCAUACCUUUAUUGAAUAUAAGAACACUAGUCAUAAUAUAUCAAUUUUCAAUGUAAAUUAGUCACAUCAUUGGGAAACCAUGUUCUAAUUAAAGUUACUUUUAUAAAAUACUUCCAGUCAGCUUUCCAUCGCGGUAAGAUGUCCACUAACCAUCGGCCCCCAACCUUUCCUAUUCAAAGUUACAUCCCGGUUCAUGACUUUGGAAUAUUUAAAUUCUUGAGGUAUAACUGGUAUGUAUCUUUUUUGCUGCUACCAUUAAUCCCUUUCAAAGAACUACAUUAACGGAUUCCAUUUUUAAAAACUUUGUACCUGGACCCUUCGUUUCUCACUUUACUGUGAAACACGUUAGUCCAAAUCAGAGUGUUCCUCAGAAACCUCUACUGUAGGAUUGACAUAAGCGCAUCUGUCUGUGAAGACUGUGUAGUGGGUGUAUGUGUGAACGGUGUGUACGAAAAAUCUAAAUGAAGAAACAAUCCCAAGGACAGUGGGAUAUUUACUGACUUGUAGAAUGUAAAAUUCUAAGUCUUUUCACACAGCAAAGGUUUCAGCUUAACCAACUCGGUUGUAGAAUCAUGAUUUUUGUAGUUAACCUAGAAAAUGCUGGAAAUGUUCUGAAUAGUUCUGUGGUUUGUUUUUUUUUUCCUUGUCAAACCCAUUUUGGUUUUUCCUCUGCUCUCUCCUGCUCAUUUAAGUUACUGUUACAAAAAGGUGCUGCUAAAUGUAGGCCAUCUUAGUUAUCCUGUACUUUGGGACAAUGCCACAUUUGAACAUGGUCUGCUCUGCAUUCAUGUUAAACCUUCACUGUCAGCUACACCAAACUGUUCAACAAGCCUGGUUUAAAGUCAUUCGUAUCAAACAAAUAAAGAGCUGGCUUCUGCACUGUUUACUAUUAGUAGUAUUAAUUGCCAUUUCAGGAGUGAUUCUUGCCGUUGAAAAUAUGCUAAACACUUCCCUGCACUUCCCUCAUGUGGCUCAUCUUCCAGGGGUGGGGAGGUCAUGGGAUGCAGUCCCCUCCCCAUGACAGCUGACAAGUGCCAGCUUCCAGCAGGUCAAAGGUCUCCGGGGGUCUGAGCACAGCAACGUCAACUUCCUCUCACCUUCAUCCUUACAUGUUCAGCAAUUCUUGCCUCUGAUGUUGAACUUUAUUUUGUCCCUUUUAAACGGAUCCAUCAUCAGAUCUUCAUUUUAAUUCCUCGCCCUUGGCUCAAUGACAUGAUGCUGCUGGUCCAAUCUUGCUAACAGGUCAAGAGUCACUCUGGUGGAGACAACAGGUAAUUAGAUGUCUCUGGAUCAGUGGCUGAAUUGUGGCUAAGUUACGUUUUUAAGUAUUUG
ensembl:lncRNA